rnacentral:rRNA from 1 species
GACGAACGCUGGCGGCGUGCCUAAUACAUGCAAGUAGAACGCUGAAGCGAGGAGCUUACUCUUCUUGCAUGAGUUGCGAACGGGUGAGUAACGCGUAGGUAACCUGCCUUGUAGCGGGGGAUAACUACUGGAAACGAUAGCUAAUACCGCAUAACAAUGGAUGCCACAUGUCAUAUAUUUGAAAGGGGCAAUUGCUCCACUACAUGAUGGACUUGCGUUGUAUUAGGUAGUAGGUGAGGUAAUGGCUCACCUAGGCGAAGAUACAUAACCGACCCGAGAGGGGGAUCCGCCACACUGGGAAUGAGACACGGCUCAGAACUCUUCGGGGGGGAGCAGGAGGGAAACCUCGGGAAAGGGGCCAACGCUGAACGAGGAACGCCGGGGGAGGGAAUGAGGGUCUCGGAUCGGUAAGACCUGGUGUAAGGCGAAAAACGGAUGUGUAGUGGAAUGUUCACACUGUGACGGUAGCUAACCAGAAAGGGACGGCUAACUACGUG